UACGGGGGGGGGCAAGCGUUGUUCGGAAUUACUGGGCGUAAAGGGUGCGUAGGCGGCUUUCUAAGUUGGAUGUGAAAACUCUGGGCUCAACCCAGAGCCUGCAUCCAAAACUGGAGAGCUUGGGUACUGGAGGGGAAAGCGGAAUUCCUGGUGUAGCGGUGAAAUGCGUAGAUAUCAGGAGGAACACCGGUGGCGAAGGCGGCAUCCUGGACCGGCAUUGACGCUGAGGCGCGAAAGCCAGGGGAGCAAACGGG
rnacentral:rRNA from 1 species